GACGAACGCUGGCGGCGUGCUUAACACAUGCAAGUCGAACGGAAAGGCCCUGCUUUUGUGGGGUGCUCGAGUGGCGAACGGGUGAGUAACACGUGAGUAACCUGCCCUUGACUUUGGGAUAACUUCAGGAAACUGGGGCUAAUACCGGAUAGGAGCUCCUGCUGCAUGGUGGGGGUUGGAGAGUUUCGGCGGUUGGGGAUGGACUCGCGGCUUAUCAGCUUGUUGGUGGGGUAGUGGCUUACCAAGGCUUUGACGGGUAGCCGGCCUGAGAGGGUGACCGGCCACAUUGGGACUGAGAUACGGCCCAGACUCCUACGGGAGGCAGCAGUGGGGAAUAUUGCACAAUGGGCGGAAGCCUGAUGCAGCAACGCCGCGUGCGGGAUGACGGCCUUCGGGUUGUAAACCGCUUUCGCCUGUGACGAAGCGUGAGUGACGGUAAUGGGUAAAGAAGCACCGGCUAACUACGUGCCAGCAGCCGCGGUGAUACGUAGGGUGCGAGCGUUGUCCGGAUUUAUUGGGCGUAAGGGCUCGUAGGUGGUUGAUCGCGUCGGAAGUGUAAUCUUGGGGCUUAACCCUGAGCGUGCUUUCGAUACGGGUUGACUUGAGGAAGGUAGGGGAGAAUGGAAUUCCUGGUGGAGCGGUGGAAUGCGCAGAUAUCAGGAGGAACACCAGUGGCGAAGGCGGUUCUCUGGGCCUUUCCUGACGCUGAGGAGCGAAAGCGUGGGGAGCGAACAGGCUUAGAUACCCUGGUAGUCCACGCUGUAAACGGUGGGUACUAGGUGUGGGGUCCAUUCCACGGGUUCCGUGCCGUAGCUAACGCUUUAAGUACCCCGCCUGGGGAGUACGGCCGCAAGGCUAAAACUCAAAGGAAUUGACGGGGCCCCGCACAAGCGGCGGAGCAUGCGGAUUAAUUCGAUGCAACGCGUAGAACCUUACCUGGGUUUGACAUGGAUCGGGAGUGCUCAGAGAUGGGUGUGCCUCUUUUGGGGUCGGUUCACAGGUGGUGCAUGGCUGUCGUCAGCUCGUGUCGUGAGAUGUUGGGUUAAGUCCCGCAACGAGCGCAACCUUUGUUCACUGUUGCCAGCACGUUAUGGUGGGGACUCAGUGGAGACCGCCGGGGUCAACUCGGAGGAAGGUGGGGAUGACGUCAAGUCAUCAUGCCCCUUAUGUCCAGGGCUUCACGCAUGCUACAAUGGCUGGUACAGAGAGUGGCGAGCCUGUGAGGGUGAGCGAAUCUCGGAAAGCCGGUCUCAGUUCGGAUUGGGGUCUGCAACUCGACCUCAUGAAGUCGGAGUCGCUAGUAAUCGCAGAUCAGCAACGCUGCGGUGAAUACGUUCCCGGG
rnacentral:rRNA from 1 species